UAUUUAGAUCUCGUACAAAUACUCGGGGGACUUAAAUGUAAUUAUGUGAUAAAGGAAGGGGCAAAUAUGUAAUAAGUGAGCAGUCCUUAUUCUAUGAAAGGGCCUCAUUCUCACCCUCAGAGGCCAAUUCCUAAGGCUCUUCACCCCCUCUCAAAGCUCUCACUCUCAGAGCUCUCUCUCCCUCAGAUAAAUACAUAAUCAGUGUGGACGUAGCCCAAACCUUGGGGGUGAACCACGAUACAUCUUGUGUUAUUUACAUUUCUUGCAGAUUCACGGUCGGAUUUACGUUGUUCCAAGACCUCCGGUUUUGUACAUCAACACAGUUCAAGUCUAAAACCUAAUCAUGUCAUUGUGUAGCAUUCAGUCUGCAUUAUGUUAGAGAAAAUUCUAAAUUCAAAUCUAAGUUUAAUGAAAAUAAGAAACCGAAUCAUGAUAAACCUUUUUAACUUUCAGAAAAUCAAAAGAAAGAGACAAAGUCACUAUGAUAAACAACUAGAUCAAGACUCCCGACUAGCAUAUCUCUAAUGGUGGGCCGGGGAUACUGCCAACGAGUAUAACGUGCAUAAAAUGUCAAUAUGACCACAUGCAUGCAUGCAAGCAAAACAUAAAGUUAUGAACUUUACAAAACAAGUAGGCAUUGUUGAGUUAAAAAAGCAAAUUCAAUAGAUUCAUCAACACCAGAGUAUAGCGAAUAAAUAAACAUGUGAGCAUGGGUGAUUUACAUAUUUUAUUUUAUAAACAUGAAGAUGACAUCAUCACUAGUGUAGUUCUGAAUUUGUUAAACAAAAAACUUUAUAGACAAGAUAUAUGCUCAAUGUCACAUGCCAAUUAAACAAAGUUUCCAACACGUGGAAAGGAAAGAUAUAUAUGGAAACAAUAUUAUGAGGUUUAGGCUUUUCUAUAGUGCAAGUGUCCUUGUUUAUCAUUGGGUUGGAUCGGGUUUAGACUCGAGUUUCAGCUUCAAUAUUUGUUGCUAGGCUAGUUAGCCAAUUAAUUGUGAAUGUGGGCAUAUAUAGGUGAGUAUAUAUAGUACUAGAACUUUUUGUAAUUUCAAUAUCACAGAAUAAUUUUCGCAAUACGAGAAAAUACUAUUGCAUCUUUUGAGAAUAAGUUUGUUUUAGCUUGAACACAUUUAAAAUCAAAUCAUGAAAGAUUAAAUAGGUUGGACCGGGUUUAUAUUCGAGUUUUCAUAGGAAAGCUUAAUGCUAGGCUUAGUAACUAGCUAACUGCAAACAUGUAUAUAGUAGUAUAGUACUAUACUUUUCUCAUAAAUGUAUUCCAUUAUCACCCAAUAACUUUUCGUUGAUAUGGAGAAUAUUUGUUGCAUGUUUUGAACAUAUAUAGAUUGAUUGUUUCUAACUUGGACAUCUUUAAUCCCAAUUAAAAUUAAUGAGAAAUCCCCACUAAAUAUAAACACAAUCAAAGUACACCAAACAAUGAUCAUAUGGUAGAGUGCAUUAUUAGAAUUUAAGUAUUGAAGAUUAGGGAAUAACAAUGAUGUAAUAUUAAAUGAAAACAAAUCAGAAAUGAUAUCCAAGAUAGAUCAUAAGAGCACUGGGUAUGUUGGUUUUGUGAUUGAGGAGGAGACAAUGAGGACAAUUGCAUUAAUAUUGUGCUUCAUUUCCAAGUCAUGAGUAGGACCUUAAUAGAAUUUCUUACAAGCUUGCAGAUCUAAAUAGAGGUGAGAGGCCAAGUGUUGAAUUCUCUAGCAUUCCACGUGGGUCAGGACUCCGGAGCUCUCUUUGUAGCUUCCAAGGUCGUGAAUAUUUUUCUCAUCACUUUCAAGUGAUGGUAAUGCUUACUACCUUAUUUAUCAUCGUUGAAUGAGUUUAAAUUUCAAGAUUUGAAUAGUGGAUAAACAUAAAUCUUAAAAUUUAAACUCACUAAAUAAUAAUAAGUCAAUAGUGAUGCUCACUACUCUAUUUAUCAUCGUUGAAUGAGUUUAAAUUUCAAGAUCUGUAUACAAACACAACUCUCAAAAUUUAAACUUACUAAUAAUUAAGUAAGAUGAUGAGCAUUACCACCACUUAAAAAUGAUGAGCAAAAAUGCAUCCUCCCCAUAUUCCAAUAUUCCAUUUUUGCCCUAUAAAUUCAUAAUUAACCCUAAUUACACAAAUCCUUUAGACCCUCUUGCACUUUUGUAUUGCAUAUAAAGAUAUAAGAGAAUCUCCCACCCAGGCUUAAACAUUGAUUCAUGGGGUAUUUUAUAAAUCAAUUAGCUCACCAUUUGGCUACAAAUUAAAUUAUUGCUAGCAUACAUAAGAGAUCUAGGUACCUGCAAGGUUUUCUUUAACUACUCAAUCAUGCAGCUUAAUUUAAGGAUGGGGUCACCAGCAAAUUAAAGCAUUAUAUAUAAAUGCACAACCCUGCAUAAUCCACCAAUAAAACAAGUUGUUAGAAUGGCCUAUAUGUGAGUAGUUUUCGAUCCAUAUACAUGUGUUGGAUAAAUAUCAACAAUUAAUGAUAAAUUUAUAUAUGCUAAUAAAUAAUAAAUGUGAAUAAAUAAAUUAACAGAGUAUGAACAAAAUGAAGUAAUAUUAAACAGACAAAUUGAAGAUCAAGGCUUGCGUACCACAAUGUCCUUGAAACAGAAAUUUCGUCCCUACUUAGUGCUUGUAGUUCUACAGACGUUUGCUUCACCAGGAUUCAACGAUCUAAGUCAGAAUUCCAACGAUCUAAGUCAGAAUUCCAGCACCGGAAAAACUUGACUUCUGGCGAAUGUCUUUGUGGUUCUCUCAGUAAGAAUGUUUGGGAUUGUAGAUGAA
rnacentral:lncRNA from 1 species